rnacentral:lncRNA from 1 species
AUAUAUUAUCAUGGACUGUUUACUGCGAACGCCGCAAAUACAGUUGAAUGAGAUAGCAGGCUAUAUCAUUAAUGCUACUGGCUCUGCAUUUGGCCCGGAGACACUGUGCCGAGCUCUCUAUAGGCUUGGAAUAACACGCAAAAAGAUACAGAGAAUUGCCCUUCAGCGAAGAAACGAUAUUGGGCUACAAUUCAUGGCCGAAAUCAGCCUUUUUGACCCAAACCUGCUCGUUUUCCUCGAUGAAACAGGCAUUG